rnacentral:rRNA from 1 species
GAUGAACGCUGGCGGCGUGCCUAAUACAUGCAAGUCGAGCGAACGGACGAGAAGCUUGCUUCUCUGAUGUUAGCGGCGGACGGGUGAGUAACACGUGGAUAACCUACCUAUAAGACUGGGAUAACUUCGGGAAACCGUAGCUAAUACCGGAUAAUAUUUUGAACCGCAUGGUUCAAAAGUGAAAGACGGUCUUGCGGUCACGUAUAGAUGGAUCCGCGCUGCAUUAGCUAGUUGGUAAGGUAACGGCUUACCAAGGCAACGAUGCAUAGCCGAACUGAGAGGGUGAUAGGCCACACUGGAGGUGAGACACGGUCCAGACUCCUACGGGACGGAGCAGUAGGGAAUCUGCCGCAGUGGGCGAAAGCCUGACGGAGCAACGCCGCGCGAGUGAUGAAGGUCUUCGGAUCGUAAAACUCUGUUAUUAGGGAAGAACAUAUGUGUAAGUAACUGUGCACAGCGUGACGGUACCUAAUCAGAAAGCCACGGCUAACUACGUG